AGGGAUCAUUACCGAGUGAGGGCCCCCGGCCCGACCUCCAACCCUAUGUUGACCAACACCUGUUGCCUCGGGGGCGACCCGGCCUCCGCGCCGGGGUCCCCGGUGGACCAUUCCAACUCUGUGUCUGUACGUCGGAGUACUUAGCGAAUCAAUCAAAACUUUCAACAACGGAUCUCUUGGUUCUG
rnacentral:misc_RNA from 1 species